CCGUGCUGGCCCGUUUGGGCAGGUCUGGUCAGAUCGUGAACGAACGGUGCAGGAACUCGAGGAUCUCGAGGAUCUCGUUCCCUCUUGCACGGCUCGCCGCUUGCCUCCUCUCGCCGGCCGCCGCUCGCCCCUCCCCUCCUCUCGCCGGCCGCCGCUCGCCCCUCCCCUCCUCUCGCCGGCCGCCGCUCGCCCCUCGCCCCUCGCCAUGUCGUCCCGCCCAGGCGCCCACAGCCGCCGUCGUCACUCCAGGUCCUCAGUGCGGCUGGCCGGCUGCGGGCUGCGGCUGGAUUAAUCCGCCCCUGCUGCGCCUCCCUCAACGCCGGACGGCUUCAAGGCUCAAGCCCUCAACUGCAUCAAUCUCAUCGGCUUCCCCAACCUCCUGUUGAACAAAUCAGCAAGCGGCUGGCAGCCACGGAGGCAGGCCCAGAGAGUCGCGUGCGAGCAGCACUCGACGACAUCGGCUACGGACGCAGGUGCAAAUAGCUGCGCGCGGGCGGCGCUCGACAGCAACGGCCAUGGAGGCCACUCCGGCAAGCUGUGGAUGAUGGUAGCUCCGGCAAAGGCGGGGCCGACGAGCCACGCGCGAGCAGCUCUGGCGAAGGCGGGUGCGGCGAUCCACACGCGAGCAGCUCCGGCAAACGUCGGACAGGCGAGCGACGGCGUUGAGGUCCGAUGUGUGGAGAAGAAUAGUCUCAAGAACCAACGUCAACAACCGGGCAUGAACUGCGGGUCUGAACUUUUUUGAGCUGGACCUAUUCAGGCCUAUAACCAACCAUACCCAACCAUUUGUUGUAAGAAACCGAACUGAACCAAACUCUUGUCAGAGUCAACCUAUUAACACCUGAACCAAGCGAAACCGUCAGCAGAAACCAAACCGAUACACCUGGUUAAUCCAAAACCAUUCUCAGAUUUACUGGCAAUGAUGUUUUUAUUGAUGAUAUGAGACAAGAUGAUUUCAGAUCUGUGCGUAAUAUUGGUGAACUCUCUGUUAUGCUUGUUAGUACAAACAAACAUGUUCUCUAUGAUUUGAUCUACAUGCUUAUCAAAUUGGUAUUGAUCUUACCGGUGGCCAUGGCGAGUGUUGAAAAGAGUAUUUUCAGCAAUGAGUCUAAUGAAAAAUAAGUUGAGAAAGAGUAUGAGUGAUGAUCUCAUGAACAAUUGUUUAGUCACAUUCAUUGAGCGAGACGUGUUCUUGAAAGUAAGCGAGGAAGACAUAGUUGAAGCUUUCAUGGCAAAGGAACAUCGUGGAGUUAAAAAGUAAGCAAGGAAGACAUAGUUGAAGGUUUCACGGCGUAGUUUCUACAUGCCUACAUUUGUGUAUCUUUUAUGUAAGACUAUUUAUAUUUGCAAUGUUGCAAAUUUGGAAUAUUUGGGAACUA